rnacentral:rRNA from 1 species
AUUGAACGCUGGCGGCAGGCCUAACACACGCAAGUCGAACGAGUGGCGGACGGGUGAGUAAAGCCUGGGAAACUGCCUGAUGGCGGGGGAUGACUACUGGAAACGGUAGCUAAUACCGCAUACCAUCAGAUGGUCCCAGAUGGGAUUAGCUUGUUGGUGGGGUAACGGCUCACCAAGGCGACGAUGCCUAACUGGUCUGGGAGGACGACGAGCACGCCUGGAACGUAGACACGGUCCGAACUCCUACGGGCGACAGCAGUGGGGAAUGUUGCACAGUAGGCGCGAGCCUGAUGCAGCCGUGCCGCUUGUAUGAAGAAGGCCUUCGGGUUGUAAAGUACUUUCAGCAGGGAGACGUUACCCGCAGAAAAAGCACCGGCUGACUCCGUGCCAGCAGCCGCGGUAAUUC